AGCUCCAAUAGCGUAUAUUAAAGUUGUUGCAGUUAAAAAGCUCGUAGUUGGAUUUGUGGCGUACAGUGGGUUCCAGGCACUUGUUGUCUGAGCAAUUUGCUGUUGCCAUCCUUGGGUGGAAUCUGUGUGGCAUUAGGUUGUCGUGCAGGGGAUGCCCAUCGUUUACUGUGAAAAAAUUAGAGUGUUCAAAGCAGGCUUAUGCCGUUGAAUAUAUUAGCAUGGAAUAAUGAGAUAGGACUUUUUUGCUAUUUUGUUGGUUUGCGCGAAGAGGUAAUGAUUAAUAGGGACAGUUGGGGGUAUUCGUAUUCCAUUGUCAGAGGUGAAAUUCUUGGAUUUCUGGAAGACGAACUACUGCGAAAGCAUUUACCAAGGAUGUUUUCAUUAAUCAAGAACGAAAGUA
rnacentral:rRNA from 1 species